rnacentral:rRNA from 1 species
GGAAAAGAAACUAACAAGGAUUCCCCUAGUAACGGCGAGUGAACCGGGAAGAGCUCAAAUUUGAAAUCUGGCGUCCUCAGGGCGUCCGAGUUGUAAUCUAUAGAGGCGUUUUCCGUGCCGGACCGUGUCCAAGUUCCUUGGAACAGGAUAUCAAAGAGGGUGACAAUCCCGUACUUGACACGACGACCGGUGCUCUGUGAUACGUCUUCUACGAGUCGAGUUGUUUGGGAAUGCAGCUCAAAAUGGGUGGUGAGUUCCAUCUAAAGCUAAAUAUUGGCGAGAGACCGAUAGCGAACAAGUACCGUGAGGGAAAGAUGAAAAGCACUUUGGAAAGAGAGUUAAACAGUACGUGAAAUUGUUGAAAGGGAAACGAUUGAAGUCAGUCGUGACCGAGAGGCUCAGCCGGUUCUGCCGGUGUAUUCCCCUCGGUCGGGUCAACAUCAGUUUUGUCCGGUGGAUAAGGGCGGUAGGAAGGUGGCACCCUCGGGUGUGUUAUAGCCUGCCGUCGCAUACAUCGGGUGAGACUGAGGAACGCAGCUCGCCUUUAUGGCCGGGGUUCGCCCACGUCCGAGCUUAGGAUGUUGACAUAAUGGCUUUAAACGACCCGUCU